rnacentral:rRNA from 1 species
GUAGUUAGCCGGGGCUUUCUUACAGGGUACCGUCACUUCUUCGUCCCCUGCGACAGAGGUUUACAAUCCGAAAACCUUCUUCCCUCACGCGGCGUUGCUGGGUCAGGCUUGCGCCCAUUGCCCAAUAUUCCCCACUGCUGCCUCCCGUAGGAGUCUGGACCGUGUCUCAGUUCCAGUGUGGCCGAUCAGCCUCUCAGCUCGGCUACCCAUCGUCGGCUUGGUGGGCUGUUAUCUCACCAACUACCUAAUGGGACGCGAACCCCUCUAAAAGCGAUAAAUCUUUGACCUCUUCCCGAUGCCGGGUUGUGGUCUUAUGCGGUAUUAGCAGUUGUUUCCACCUGUUAUUCCCCACUCUUAGGCAGGUUGUUCACGCGUUACUCACCCGUGCGCCACUAGAAUUAUCAAUUCCAUCCGAAAACUUCCUUAAUAAUCCCCGUUCGACUUGCAUGUGUUAGGCACGCCGCCAGCGUUCGUCCUGAGCCAGAAUCAAACUCUGA